GAUGAAGAACGUAGCGAAAUGCGAUAAGUAGUGUGAAUUGCAGACUUUAGUGAAUCAUCGAAUCUUUGAACGCACAUUGCGCCCAUUAGUAUUCUAGUGGGCAUGCCUGUUCGAGCGUCAUUAAUUCCACUUAAGCCCUGCUUAGUGUUGGGAAUCUACUCUAGUGGUGCUACCCUGGAGCUACCCCUGAAAGGGGGCUGGCCCGGUAGCUACCCUGUAGUUCCUCAAAGAUAGUGCGCGGAGUUGCGUGGUCCUCUGAGCUUAGUAACUAUACACCUAGCUUUUGAGUGUCCCGCGGCGCCUGCCGUUUAAACCCCAUCUUUUAAUGGUUGACCUCGGAUCAGGUAGGAAUACCCGCUGAACUUAAGCAUAUCAAUAAGCGGAGGA
rnacentral:misc_RNA from 1 species